CCUACGGGUGGCAGCAGUGGGGGAUAUUGCACAAUGGGGGGAACCCUGAUGCAGCGACGCCGCGUGGGUGAAGGAGUGCUUCGGCAUGUAAAGCCCUAUCGGCAGGGAAGAAGCAAGACGGUACCUGACUAAGAAGCCCCGGCUAACUACGUGCCAGCAGCCGCGGUAAUACGUAGGGGGCGAGCGUUAUCCGGAUUCACUGGGUGUAAAGGGAGCGUAGACGGCCAUGCAAGCCAGGGGUGAAAGCCCGGGGCCCAACCCCGGGACUGCCCUUGGAACUGUGCGGCUAGAGUGCGGGAGGGGCAGGCGGAAGUCCUGGUGUAGCAGUGAAAUGCGUAGAUAUCAGGAGGAACACCGGCGGCGAAGGCGGCCUGCUGGACUGCGACUGACGUUGAGGCUCGAAAGCGUGGGGAGCGAACAGGAUUAGAUACCCCUGUAGUC
rnacentral:rRNA from 1 species